AGAGUUUGAUCCUGGCUCAGGACGAACGCUGGCGGCGUGCCUAACACAUGCAAGUCGAGCGGAGACAGUGAGUAGCUUGCUAUGAUCUGUUUUAGCGGCGGACGGGUGAGUAACGCGUGAGCAACCUUUCCCAGACAGGGGAAUAACACACCGAAAGGUGUACUAAUACCGCAUAAGACCACGGGAUCACAUGGUUCUGGGGUAAAAGAUUUAUCGGUUUGGGGUGGGCUCGCGUCCGAUUAGGUAGUUGGUGAGGUAACGGCCCACCAAGCCGACGAUCGGUAGCCGACCUGAGAGGGUGAUCGGCCACAUUGGGACUGAGACACGGCCCAAACUCCUACGGGAGGCAGCAGUGGGAAUAUUGGGCAAUGGAGGAAACUCUGACCCAGCAACGCCGCGUGGAGGAAGAAGGUUUUCGGAUCGUAAACUCCUGUCCUUGGAGACGAGUAGAAGACGGUAUCCAAGGAGGAAGCCCCGGCUAACUACGUGCCAGCAGCCGCGGUAAUACGUAGGGGGCAAGCGUUGUCCGGAAUAAUUGGGCGUAAAGGGCGCGUAGGCGGCUCGGUAAGUCUGGAGUGAAAGUCCUGCUUUUAAGGUGGGAAUUGCUUUGGAUACUGUCGGGCUUGAGUGCAGGAGAGGUUAGCGGAAUUCCCAGUGUAGCGGUGAAAUGCGUAGAGAUUGGGAGGAACACCAGUGGCGAAGGCGACUAACUGGACUGUAACUGACGCUGAGGCGCGAAAGUGUGGGGAGCAAACAGGAUUAGAUACCCUGGUAGUCCACACUGUAAACGAUGAAUGCUAGGUGUAGGGGGUAUCGACCCCUUCUGUGCCGCAGUCAACACAAUAAGCAUUCCGCCUGGGGAGUACGGCCGCAAGGUUGAAACUCAAAGGAAUUGACGGGGGCCCGCACAAGCAGCGGAGCAUGUGGUUUAAUUCGACGCAACGCGAAGAACCUUACCAGGUCUUGACAUCCACUUAAACUUACAGAGAUGUAAGGUGUGCUUGCACAAAGUGAGACAGGUGGUGCAUGGUUGUCGUCAGCUCGUGUCGUGAGAUGUUGGGUUAAGUCCCGCAACGAGCGCAACCCUUAUCUUCAGUUACUAACGCGUGAGGGUGAGGACUCUGAAGAGACUGCCGGGGACAACUCGGAGGAAGGUGGGGACGACGUCAAAUCAUCAUGCCCCUUAUGACCUGGGCUACACACGUGCUACAAUGGCCACGACAGAGAGAAGCGAAAUCGCAAGGUAGAGCGGAACUCAAAAAAGUGGUCCCAGUUCGGAUUGUGGGCUGCAACCCGCCCACAUGAAGUCGGAGUUGCUAGUAAUCGCGGAUCAGCAUGCCGCGGUGAAUACGUUCCCGGGCCUUGUACACACCGCCCGUCACACCAUGGGAGUUGGGAGUGCCCAAAGCCGGUGAGGCAACCGCAAGGAGCCAGCCGUCUAAGGCAAGACCAAUGACUGGGGUGAAGUCGGAACAAGGUA
rnacentral:rRNA from 1 species